rnacentral:rRNA from 2 species
GGACCAAGGAGUCUAGCAUGUGCGCGAGUCAUUGGGAUCUUAGCGAAACCCACAGGCGAAAUGAAAGUGAAGGCGUGCCUUGCGCGCGCCUAGGGCGGAUGCGACGGCCAACGUGCCGACGCCGCACGCCCGGGGCGUCUCGCGCUCAUCGCGAGCUGAGGCGCACCCAGAGCGUACAUGCUGGGACCC